AGGGAGGUAGCUCAGUGGUAUAGGACAUGCUUCACAUGCAUGAGGUCUGGGAUCAAUCCCCAACACCACUA
rnacentral:tRNA from 1 species